rnacentral:rRNA from 1 species
GCAUAUCAUAGCGGAGGAAAAGAAACUACAAGGAUUCCCCUAGUAACGGCGAGUGAAGCGGGAUGAGCUCAAAUUUAAAAAUCUGGCUGGUUUACUAGUCCGAAUUGUAGUUUAAAGAAGCGUUUUCGGUGGCAGCCUGGGUAUAAAUCCUUUGGAAUAGGGUAUCAUAGAGGGUGAGAAUCCCGUCUUUGACUCAGUGCAUGCUACUAUGUGAUACGUUUUCAAAGAGUCGAGUUGUUUGGGAAUGCAGCUCAAAAUGGGUGGUAAAUUUCAUCUAAAGCUAAAUAUUGGCGAGAGACCGAUAGCGAACAAGUACCGUGAGGGAAAGAUGAAAAGAACUUUGAAAAGAGAGUUAAAUAGUGCGUGAAAUUGUUGAAAGGGAAACGUUUGACACCAGUCAUGCGGGUGGAAAAUCAGUCUUUUGGGGUGGGGAGUGGUAGGAGUUCAGACCGCAAGGCUGGCUUUUGCUUCAUCUCUGUCCUAAAGGAUGCACUUUUUCAUCUGCAGGUCAACAUCAGUUUCUUCUGCUGGACAAAACUCCGAGAGAAGGUAGCAGCUUAGGCUGUGUUAUAGCUCUGGAGCGAUACAGUGGAGGGGACUGAGGUUUUCGCAGUGUGUGCUCUCGGGCAAGGUCGACUGGGUGCUAUGUGAUCGUUCGGUGUACAAUGCAUGCAUUUUGCGCUGUGUCUUUUGCAUACUCGCCUGAAUCGACUCUUCCACGCUUAGGAUGUUGACUUAAUGGUUUUAAACGACCCGUCUUGAAACACGGACCAAGGAGUCUAACAUAUAUGCAAGUGUUUGGGUGGCAAACCCAUACGCGUAAUGAAAGUGAACGUAGGUGCGAUCCGCAAGGUGCAGCAUCGACCGAUCUUGAUAUUUUUGGAUAGAUUUGAGUAAGAGCAUAUAUGCUGGGGACCCGAAAGAUGGUGAACUAUGCCUGAAUAGGGGUGAAGCCAGAGGAAACUCUGGUGGGAGGCUCGUAGCGAUUCUGACGUGCAAAUCGAUCGUCAAAUUUGGGGUAUAGGGGGCGAAAGACUAAUCGAACCAYCUAGUAGCUGGUUUCCUGGCCCGAAA